rnacentral:lncRNA from 1 species
GUACAAGGUGCCCCUCAGAGGUCGAUCCUGUGAGAAAUAAGUUUACCAGCCACAGGCCGCUCACUGGGGCUCAAGGGUAUCUUUCCAUCGGCCUGCACCAGCAUCUAAGUGUUGUGGGGACUGUCACCCAAGGAGCUGGGGGGAUGUCUCGGUAGGUAGUGUUUGUACACGGGCCUGAGUUUAGUCCCAGAACAUGCAUAGAGCUGGGGAGGCAGGGGCAGCCUGAAUGUGCACUUGCUGGCUGCUCAGCCUAUGUACUGUCCAGUUCUGGGCCAGUGAGACCAUCUCAAAAUACAAGAUGUACGGCAUCUGAAGGACAAUACUUUAAGGUUCAUCUCCGGUCUCCACAUGUUCACAUAUGCACCUGUGCACACACAACAUAUACACACCACACACACACAAACACACACACACACUACAUAUACACAUAUACCACAUACAAUACACACACACCCCACCACACACACACACACACACUACAUAUACACAUAUACCACAUACAAUACACACACCCCAACACCCACACCCACACCCACACCCACACCCACACACACAUGUAUUUGAAGCCAGCCAUUUGCAGAGGUGACAUAAAACAGAGCACAGUACCCCUGCAGCGUAAGGCCCACACUUGUCCCUCCUAGGUCACUGGAGGGAUCUUGUUGAGACUGACCCCUGAGGAGUGACUUUCUGUUAACACUCACGCUGUCUCCGAUUGUGCUGCACUCUGAACUUGACAGGGCUUCCUCGGAUUCAUUUGUCAAGAGGCCAGUGAGCAGCAAGGGCGAGCGUCCUUGUCUAAGGGGCUCUUACCAGACACUGGCUCAGGUCUGGGGAGAUACAGGCCCCCCUCCUGCUGGAUUAGACACCAGCUUCCAUCCGUACAUGACUUCUAUCCACCCGGCUACAAAGGCUGACUCCUGGUGUUCACAGAGGGCCAGGGUGCAGUGCAGCUGGUUUGGGUCAUCAUGGCAGGCCCUGGGCAAGAUUGUGAGGAUUCCCAUGGUGAAGGUAUUCAGGGCUGGGUAUCCAUGUCUUCAGGUACUGCUUUUGAAGUCAGAUCUGGCAUCUGGUGGCCGUGUGGUGACACCCUAUGGGAAGAUGGCCUCCAUUUGCAGAUGGCCACACAGUAUAUCUGUGCACAGACAGGAUAAGAGGAAAAUGGUACUCCCUUAAUUCAAUGACAGCAGCUCUGGAUUUUACAGUCUGCAUCCUCAAUAAAGUCCUCUUGAUAAAAAAAUCCAGCUAGCCAAAUAAAGCAACUGUGAUGAG